rnacentral:sRNA from 1 species
UGCGACCGACUGACCUGCCUGUCCAUA